rnacentral:rRNA from 1 species
UACGAAGGGGGGCUAGCGUUGUUCGGAAUUACUGGGCGUAAAGCGCACGUAGGCGGACAUUUAAGUUGGAGGUGAAAGCCUUGGGCUCAACCCAAGAAUUGCCUUUGAUACUGGAUGUCUCGAGACCGGGAGAGGUGAGUGGAAUUCCGAGUGUAGAGGUGAAAUUCGUAGAUAUUCGGAAGAACACCAGUGGCGAAGGCGGCUCACUGGCCCGGUUCUGACGCUGAGGUGCGAAAGCGUGGGGAGCAAACAGG